rnacentral:rRNA from 1 species
GAUGAACGCUAGCGGCAGGCCUAAUACAUGCAAGUCGAGGGGCGGCAUGGGUAGCAAUACCUGAUGGCGACCGGCGCACGGGUGCGUAACACGUAUGUAAUCUGCCCGUUACCUGGGGAUAGCCCGGAGAAAUCCGGAUUAACACCCAAUGAUAAUACGGAGUGGCAUCACACUGUAUUUAAAAAUUUAUUGGUAACGGAAGAGCAUGCGGUCGAUUAGCUAGUUGGUGAGGUAACGGCUCACCAAGGCGACGAUCGAUAGGGGACCUGAGAGGGUGAUCCCCCACACUGGUACUGAGAUACGGACCAGACUCCUACGGGAGGCAGCAGUAGGGAAUAUUGGGCAAUGGGCGAGAGCCUGACCCAGCCAUGCCGCGUGCAGGAAGAAGGCCUUCUGGGUUGUAAACUGCUUUUGAACGGGAACAAAGAGACCCUGCGGGGUAAGAAGAGUGUACCGUUAGAAUAAGCACCGGCUAACUCCGUGCCAGCAGCCGCGGUAAUACGGAGGGUG